rnacentral:rRNA from 1 species
GUCCACGCCUUAAACGUUGAAUACUCGAUGUGUGCGAUAUACAGUACGCGUCUAAGCGAAAGUGAUAAGUAUUCCACCUGGGGAGUACGCUCGCAAGGGUGAAACUCAAAGGAAUUGACGGGGGCCCGCACAAGCGGAGGAGCAUGUGGUUUAAUUCGAUGAUACGCGAGGAACCUUACCUGGGCUUGAAAGUUAGUGACCGAUUGUGAAAGCAGUCUUUCCGCAAGGACACGAAACUAGGUGCUGCAUGGCUGUCGU